rnacentral:rRNA from 1 species
ACGUGAUCUGAGUUCAGACCGGAGUAAUCCAGGUCGGUUUCUAUCUAUAAAGAGCUUUUUCUAGUACGAAAGGACCAAAAAAGCAUGGCCUAUAUAUUUUACAAGCCAUUAAUACUAACUAAUGAUUUCAACUUAAUUAGAAAUAUGUCUACAAUUUAUCUCGAGAAAAGAGA